GACGAACGCUGGCGGCGUGCUUAACACAUGCAAGUCGAACGGGCCUUGUCCCCUUUUUUUUUGGGGGUGGGGUUAGUGGCGAACGGGUGAGUAACACGUGAGUAACCUGCCCCUCACUUCUGGAUAACCGCUUGAAAGGGUGGCUAAUACGGGGUGUUCUGGCCUGCUCGCAUGGGUGGGUUUGGAAAGAUUCGACCGGUUUUGGUUGUUUUGGUGGGGGAUGGGCUCGCGGCCUAUCAGCUUGUUGGUGGGGUGAUGGCCUGCCAAGGCUUUGACGGGUAGCCGGCCUGAGAGGGUGGGCGGUCACACUGGGACUGAGACACGGCCCAGACUCCUACGGGAGGCAGCAGUGGGGAAUAUUGCACAAUGGGAGCAAGCCUGAUGCAGCGACGCCGCGUGAGGGAUGGAGGCCUUCGGGUUGUGAACCUCUUUCGCCAGUGAAGAAGGUCCUGCUCUUUGUGGUGGGGUUGACGGUAGCUGGGUUAAUGAAGCGCCGGCUAACUACGU
rnacentral:rRNA from 1 species